GAUGAACGCUGGCGGCGGGCCUAAUACAUGCAAGUCGAGCGAACAGACGAGGAUCUUGCCCCGUUGACGUGAGCGGCGGACGGGUGAGUAACACGUAGGUAACCUACCUAUGAGACUGGGAUAACGUCGGGAAACCGGAUCUAACACCGGACAAUAGGGCGAACCGGAUGGUUCUAUAGUGAAAGAUGGCUUUGCUAUCACUUAUAGAUGGACCUGCGCCGGAUUAGCUAGUUGGUAAGGUAACGGCUUACCAAGGCAACGAUCCGUAGCCGACCUGAGAGGGUGAUCAGCCACACUGGAACUGAGACACGGUCCAGACUCCUACGGGAGGCAGCAGUGGGGAAUCUUCCGCAAUGGGCGAAAGCCUGACGGAGCAACGCCGCGUGAGUGAUGAAGGUCUUCGGAUCGUAAAACUCUGUUAUUAGGGAAGAACAAACGUGUAAGUAACUGUGCACGUCUUGACGGUACCUACUCAGAAAGCCACGGCUAACUACGUG
rnacentral:rRNA from 1 species